GAUGAACGCUGGCGGCGUGCUUAACACAUGCAAGUCGAACGAAGCACUUUAUUUGAUUUCCUUCGGGACUGAUUAUUUUGUGACUGAGUGGCGGACGGGUGAGUAACGCGUGGGUAACCUGCCUUGUACAGGGGGAUAACAGUUGGAAACGGCUGCUAAUACCGCAUAAGCGCACGUCAUCGCAUGCUGCAGUGUGAAAAACUCCGGUGGUAUAAGAUGGACCCGCGUUGGAUUAGCUAGUAGGUGAGGUAACGGCCCACCAAGGCGACGAUCCAUAGCCGACAGGGGAGGGUGACCGGCCACAUUGGGAGUGAGACACGGCCGAAAAUCCUACGGGAGGCAGCAGUGGGGAAUAUUGCACAAUGGGCGAAAGCAUGAUGCAGCGACGCCGCGUGAGCGAAGAAGUAUUUCGGUAUGUAAAGCUCUAUCAGCAGGGAAGAUAAUGACGGUACCUGACUAAGAAGCACCGGCUAAAUACGUG
rnacentral:rRNA from 1 species